rnacentral:rRNA from 1 species
CCUACGGGUGGCAGCAGUCGAGAAUCAUUCACAAUGGGGGAAACCCUGAUGGUGCGACGCCGCGUGGGGGAAUGAAGGUCUUCGGUUUGUAAACCCCUGUCAUGUGGGAGCAAAUUAAAAAGAUAGUACCACAAGCGGAAGAGACGGCUAACUCUGUGCCAGCAGCCGCGGUAAUACAGAGGUCUCACGCGUUGUUCGGAAUCACGGGGCGUAAAGCGUACGUAGGCGGUUUCGUAAGUCGUGUGUGAAAGGCGCGGGCUCAACCCGGGAACGGCACAUGAUACUGGGAGACUAGAGUAAUGGAGAGGGGACUGGAAUUCUAGGUGUAGCAGUGAAAUGCGUAGAGAUCGGGAGGAAUACUGGUGGCGAAGGCGGGUUCCUGGACAAUGACUGACGCUGAGGUGCGAAGGCGAGGGGAGCGAAAGGGAUUAGAUACCCUAGUAGUC